rnacentral:rRNA from 1 species
GACGAACCGUGCGAACGUUGUUCGGAAUCACUGGGCUUAAAGGGUGCGUAGGCGGGCGAUCAAGUCAGGGGUGAAAUCCUCCAGCUCAACUGGAGAACUGCCUUUGAUACUGGUCAUCUCGAGUAAGGUAGGGGCGUGCGGAACUGAUGGUGGAGCGGUGAAAUGUGUUGAUAUCAUCAGGAACUCCGGUGGCGAAAGCGGCGCGCUGGACCUUAACUGACGCUGAUGCACGAAAGCUAGGGGAGCGAACGGG